GGCGGUGUUAGCUCAGCUGGCUAGGAGCGUAGCGGUCAUACCGUUGAGGUCGGGGGUUCGAUCCCCCUCCGCCGCUACCA
rnacentral:tRNA from 1 species